AGAGUUUGAUCAUGGCUCAGGAUGAACGCUAGCGGCAGGCCUAACACAUGCAAGUCGAGGGGUAGGGGGUGCUUGCACCCUUGAGACCGGCGCACGGGUGCGUAACGCGUAUGCAACCUACCUAUUGCAGGGGAAUAGCCCAGGGAAACUUGGAUUAAUGCCCCAUGGCCCACAAUGAGAGCAUUUGAGUUGUGGUAAAGAUUUAUCGGCAAUAGAUGGGCAUGCGUCCCAUUAGCUAGUCGGUGCGGUAACGGCGCACCGAGGCUACGAUGGGUAGGGGCCCUGAGAGGGGGAUCCCCCACACUGGUACUGAGACACGGACCAGACUCCUACGGGAGGCAGCAGUGAGGAAUAUUGGACAAUGGGCGGGAGCCUGAUCCAGCCAUGCCGCGUGCAGGAAGACUGCCCUAUGGGUUGUAAACUGCUUUUUUACGGGAAGAAACACCCCCUCGUGAGGGGGCUUGACGGUACCGUACGAAUAAGGAUCGGCUAACUCCGUGCCAGCAGCCGCGGUAAUACGGAGGAUCCGAGCGUUAUCCGGAAUCAUUGGGUUUAAAGGGUCCGUAGGCGGGCGUCUAAGUCAGUGGUGAAAUCCCGCGGCUCAACCGUGGAAUUGCCAUUGAUACUGGUCGCUUUGAAUGGUCGUGAAGUGGCUAGAAUAUGUGGUGUAGCGGUGAAAUGCUUAGAUAUCACAUAGAAUACCGAUUGCGAAGGCAGGUCGCUAACGACGCAUUGACGCUGAUGGACGAAAGCGUGGGGAGCGAACAGGAUUAGAUACCCUGGUAGUCCACGCCGUAAACGAUGGAUACUAGCUGUCCGUCCCGAGUUGUCGGGAUGGGUGGCCAAGCGAAAGUGAUAAGUAUCCCGCCUGGGGAGUACGUUCGCAAGAAUGAACUCAAA
rnacentral:rRNA from 1 species